UACGUAGGGGGCUAGCGUUGUCCGGAUUUAUUGGGCGUAAAGAGCGCGUAGGCGGCCCGGUAGGUCUGGUGUGAAAACUCGAGGCUUAACCUCGAGAUGUCAUCGGAAACCAUUUGGCUAGAGUCCGGAAGAGGAGAGUGGAAUUCCUGGUGUAGCGGUGAAAUGCGCAGAUAUCAGGAAGAACACCAAUGGCGAAAGCAGCUCUCUGGGACGGUACUGACGCUGAGACGCGAAAGCGUGGGGAGCGAACAGG
rnacentral:rRNA from 1 species